rnacentral:rRNA from 1 species
UACGGGGGGAGCAAGCGUUGUUCGGAUUUACUGGGCGUAAAGGGCGCGUAGGCGGCCAGUGCAAGUCAGUUGUGAAAUCUCCGGGCUUAACUCGGAAAGGUCAACUGAUACUGCUCGGCUAGAGUGCGGAAGGGGCAACUGGAAUUCUCGGUGUAGCGGUGAAAUGCGUAGAUAUCGAGAGGAACACCUGCGGCGAAGGCGGGUUGCUGGGCCGACACUGACGCUGAGGCGCGAAAGCUAGGGGAGCGAACGGG